UGACCAGUGGCCUUCUUCACUAACAAGGUAACAACGUUUUUGCGCUCUCGUCAGUUAUGUAAUGUAAUGGUGGUCUUUUUUAUACUGUAUGUGCCCCCUCUCUGGCGUUUAGCACUGUGAUAACAAUUGCAAAUGAGGCGAUAAAAUCGCUAAAUUACAACGAAGGUCGGCAAAAACACCAACCCUGGACGUACUAGCGAGCCAUUUAAUGAGAUUUUUUCAUGAUUGAAGGAUUUCUGAUCCAGUUCGAUCAAACUGCGGGGAUCACCCGAUUUUACCGCAAAUUUCAACAAUAAAUCUAAAUAAAAUGAUUAUUUGUGAAAAUUCGGCGAUAAUCAGAAAUAAUACGUGGGGUCCAAGAGGAGGUCGCCAGGAGCCACGGUAUUUCGCCUCACGGACUGUUCAUGUUGCAGAGCGAUUUUUAGACUCAGAAGACCCAUAAAGCAGGAAUUAAAUGUUUAAGAACGUUGUUAAUUAACAAAAAAAAUGGUAUUUAUACUUUUUCAGCAAACAAGAAUCACAAGAAUGAGAGGCACAUUAGAGCACCACUUCAUUUAUUGCUCACUUUACUUAAUUGUUUGUGGAGUAAACAUUUAGUCGAUUAUUGGUGUUUGAUUUCUUCUAAUGUGAUUUUCGAGAAGAGUGAAAGGUUUUGCGAAAAUCAACUUUGUUAGAAACACUUAUUUUUCUUCGAAUUUGUGAUGCACAUUUCAAGAAAAUUGGCAAACAUUUACACAAAAAAUUUUGACUUAUAACACCGGCCGAUUUCUCGAAAAUUAACCAAUUUAUGUAAAAUUUGCUACCAGAUUUGAAAUCCUUGGUCAUUUUGUUAGAAAAUUAGAAAAUAUAAGCAUACAUUAAAGUAAACUGGAAAAAUCGGCUAAAAAUUGGUCAGAUUUUUAAAAAUUACGCACGCUUUAUAAGUUUAGAGUUUAGAGUUGUAGGUGAUUCUUGCAUAAUUUUACGUUAGAAGAACUUGCGUUUUUUUAAUUUUUGCUUAUUCGACUUGAAAAUCGCAAAAAUUUGACACACAGUGAAAUGAAAUUCUGCCCAAAAAUUUGUAAAUAAAUCAAAAACUAGUCCAGUUAUUUAAAUUUUGAGUUCAGAUCUGUAAUAUUUUUUGCCUUAAAAAUAUUUUCUCUUCUUUACCAAAAAAUCGCAUAAAAAAUAUUCUGACAUCUACUAAAGACCAGCCGAUGUUCUAAUUUAUAAUAAAAUUUCAUCACACAUUUGAAAUCCUAAAAACUUAGAUUCUCUUAAAUAUUUUUUAUUAUAGAAUUUUUUAGAAAAUAUAAAAGUUUUGCAAAAAUAAAAAUAAAUAGACUUGAAAAAUCGGCUAAAAAUCGGCGUAUAUUUCAAAAAUUAGCCAAGCUUUAUAAGUUAUUUUAUCUUAGUAACUUUAAUUCUUUUUUAAUAUUUUUUAAUUGAAUUUUUUCGAAAAUAAAAACUUCUGUACAAAUUAUAGUAGGUAGCCUUAAAAAAUCGGCUAAAAAUCGGCAAAUAUCUUAAAAAUUAGUCAAUCUUUCUAAGUUUUGAGCGUAGAGUUGUAAUUCUCGCAUCAUUUUACGUUAGAACUUGGGCUCUUUUAAUUUCCUGUUUAUUCCAAUUUUAAUAAAAUCUGAAAAUUUUUGACAAACUAUGAAUUUUUAUCGAAAAAUCGGCAAAUAAAUUUAUAAUUUUCGUGACGUUAGAAAUACUUUUUGAUGCACCUUUUAAGAAAAUUGGCAAAAAGUUGCAAAUUCAAUGUGAAUUAAAUACAAAAACCCCCGGUGUAAAUUCGAAAAUAACCAGUAAUGAGUUAUGAACAGGUCGCCAGGAGCCACGGUAAUCUUCCCUCACGACCCUGCUUAGAGGUAGGAGAAGCCCACAAAGCAGGAAUUAAAAUAAAUUAUUGACGGACUUUAAUUUGAAAAAAUAUUUGCGAUUUUUACUUUUUCACUAUUUUUUUUUUGUAAAAUUGUUAAGAAAAAUAAAAAUGUACAAAAAUC